AACUGACUGGUGGAGUGGUUUGAGCAUCGGACCAUGGCUCUGGAGACCAGGGUUCAAAUCCCUGCUUGGUCA